ACAGUUAGCGGAUUACGUGGUCUUGGUUGUUGCAUUUUACUCCUCUGCUAAUAGUUUGAAACACGCGCUCGCUAACUGCGCGCACGAGAACGAGUACUGCAGAGAUACAAUACUUUUACACCGUGACAACAGCCUAAAACGGUGUAACUGAAAUUAAGGAAUCCCCAUAAUUGGCUUGGAUUGUUGGCUUUCCUCUAUAGUCGAUUGAUCAUGGUCCAUGAUGUUUGUGCCAAAGUGAAACCCGCUUUCCUUUUUUUUAGAACGUCAAGGGCUGUGUUAUUGCAGCAACCAGCAAGCAAAAUUGUUGAUAAUACUGUCUAUUUUGUCCCGUUAUAGUAGAUGGGCCUGACUUGGGAAACGGUGUGUCUGCUAAAUUGUUGGUUAAUAUUUUGGACAAACUGAAUAACUACGAAUCCACGAAACCAGUGAUAACCUUAUUAUCAUGAGGUUUAUGAUCCAAAAUAGUCGCAUACCAGCAUUGUUCGUACACACUGUGCUGUCUCUGUUGUGAGUACAUGUUGAAGUGUGCCGUAACUAUGUAUACAGUUACUGCAUAAAAAACUUACAAUCUAAACUUACGGCGCAUUCUUUUAACGAUGCAGGCAUUUCUCCGCAUCAGACAAAAAAAGCCGCUUUUUUUACCUUCAUUGUGGUUUUGCUAACAUAUUUCGUGGACAGGAAUUUCACGUUCAAGGUACUGUAUAACCGUGUUCAGUUGAACUAUUUAGCCAAAGGGCUUAAAACAACCGUUAAGGCGCUAGCAGCUAAACUGGAUAUGAGAAAAUAGUCAUAGCUACGAUAGACAUCCGCAAAACAGCUUUUGCUUUUUGCACGCCUGCUUCUACUUAGCGCUUACUUUUAAUAUGCGGAGAGCCCACAUAUUAUGACUGCAUGCAAAGGAUCAGCAUUAUGAUCAUUUCAUUAUGAAAGGUUGCCCUUAACUUCUCAUGCGCGCUGCCGGAUUUCUCAUGCAGAACGCUACAGCAGUAACAGUUCUGUCUGGAUAUCUCGUCAAUGCCAGCCUUUCUAACUGGUCGACGAAUAGAACUUCAGCUGAAAAUUCGAUGGCUUGGGUUAGCAUACUUUUUAUCGGAUGAGCGACCUGGUUUAACGGGCGGGGCGGCGGUCAUCCUUCCGUGGUUUACUGACGCGUCAAUGACUUUGUCUGAUUGGAUCUUAGUUGUGUUCUCCUGGGAACGGCUGCUUGUGAUUUCGAAUCCUUUCCGGUUCGCAUUCUUGCAGCGGGUAGUAACAGCUCGGUGCCUUAUUGUCGUUCUCGCUGCUCUAUCGUUCGCAUGUCACAUGGCCAGUUUUGCAAUGCGCUAUGAUCUUUUCAUAUUUAACCUUCACAGCACGGCUGGCUCAUUUUAUUCUUCCCCACUCUGGCUGCAGGAAUGGGAUGUCGUUGACAGAAAGGGUCUGGUAUGUCUUGUAUCCGCAGGGUCAGUUAAUCUUUUACUCUUUACAGUGAACUGCCUUGCAUAUUACUAAACCUUAUUAAUAUGAUGGCUAAAGAAAGUUUUUGCGCGAAGCCUACGAGCUACUUUGCUAGGAAGCGAUUGACAACUGACAAGGCUGUUUGCAAGGCCGUUUAUGCCAAAUUUGGCUAGAGCGCAAUGAGGCUCAUUGCGCUCUAGAGAAAAGCAAAUGCAUUCCCGCCCUAAACGGAAAUCUCCAGGUCGCAACGAUUCGGUAUAGUACCGUAUUUACCAGAGCACACAUUCCGUUAAUAUUAAAAAAAACUUAAUAUAAAACCUCUACUGAGGUUUUUUCCCACAAUAACCUUAUUGCUUCAUACACUUAGUCGCUAUCACUUAAAGUGCGGUGUUUUACUAUUUGGGUGUAUUGAGUGGUAUGAUGCUUUCUGUAAUUAUUCGCUUACUAUAGCCUACAUCGCGGUCGACAGACAGUUUGGUAUAUGUAGUGAACAAACCGGCGAAAUUAAAAAUGAAAGUUUCCCCAUUCAUGAAAACAGGCCUCGCUGACUACGGUCGAUCAUUAUAUAAUGAAAGCGGAUAAUACAUUGUUUAGUGAUAACACUCCGUGAAAAGUACGAAAGCGUCACGUUUAAGCAAUCCGAAUUCUCUGAAUUUUCCAAUACAAUUUUUCUUAAAUAAUCAUUAUAGUAUUAUGAUGGUUUAUCCAUAAGUUAAAACUGUAGAGACUCCGUGGCUUUAAACAUACAGCUGAUUCUGCAAUGAUUUGUGGUGCCUCAGAAAUUAAUCUAUUCGCACAGAAGGAUGGAAAUCCAAGCGAAUGCAUGUAAAAUUUUUUUUACCUACGCGAUAUUACAGUAUGUAUCAACAAAUGUUGUAGUCGGUAAACGAAUCGACACGAAUGAACAUGUUCUGAUCGGUUAUGUCCUCCCCUUGCAGGUUGCGGUGCCCCUUUUGACGUUUUUGCUAAUCCUCAUUCCCAGUGUAAUCCUGAUUAUUUUCCUCAUGGGCCAACGGCGAUUUGAAUUUGGAAUUAACAUUCCGGGCAAACUCAUAUUAUACGGUACGUUUUGCCGGCCAGGGGCAGGCUGCGGCCGGAUCUAAGACUAAAAGUGGUGAAGUUCGUCUAGCGGCAACAGUAUUAAUAAAGCAAGGGAGUGCUAACGGCUAAAAUCGGCAACAAUCAGACCAGGAAAUAACUGACAAACAAAGGUCACCUUAACCAGUAUUGUGGGAGAGUGUGUGGCCGCUGUUGUGCUCGGACUGCACCGUUUUUAUCAGUCAAGCACCUUAAUGCCGGUUUAAGAUUUCUCAAAACCUACAUUGUCUGCAUGGUAAUCAGCAUAAUGUUGUCUGUGGGUAUAAAUCGUAUGAUCAUUCAUGGCGCACUCAUCGUAACCUGGGAACAGAAAUUCCAUUAUAGUUCUGGUGGACCAACCAUUAUCGGCUACGCAGGGUUCUUUAUUGUCCUGGAAAUUACGUUUGUAGUGCGAGCUGUGAGAACGAUCAGUACAUGGACAUCAUACGGUGUCGCACCAGUGGAAUCCACUUUGAUUCCCUCUCAAACGGUAUCCGUUGGAGGUUGUCAUCCUCCUGCUACAAGACAAGCCAUGUUGGCGGAGAAAAUGCCGUUGGAUAGUUAUUCUUAUCUGACACCGCGAAAUGAUGACGCUACGCAUGUGCCCUGGCGUUUGAAUGAUGCUUUGGGCUCUGGAAAUCCUCCACAAAAUCAUGGGUUUUCAUCUGUGGUCAGCGCAGCAAGAGAUACAAAACCGGAAACAUUGUUAAGUAUCCGAAUGUCAAUGGAUCACCUUGCUGCAUUGGUCGGCCUUUGCAUGCAGAUGUCUGGGACACGCAUAUUUGCGUAUCGGGAAACUUGGAAACUGGUUGUUUUUCAAAGACAUGAUGGACUGCAUAAUCGUUUGUGAACACAAAUACGUCGAAAAUAUGUCAAUUUCUUAAAUCGAAUGCCAGGUUAUGAAAUCAAACGCUUGCUAAAAACGGUGGCCGAGAAAAUCCCACUACUCAUAUGCAAACCUAGCGGUCAUCAAAAAGAGGCAGACAAUCCGUGCGGUAAUAACUUUUAGUUAAAAUCUGGGUAAACCAUGGUAACCAUUUGUUUUCCAGUGACUGAAAAUUAUCUUCUAUCCAAACAUUCUUCUCCAUGUCAUAGCGUUCCAUUUGCAGUAAUGGAUAAUAGUCCUGCCAGCUUCUUCUCCCGCCACAAACAUAAAUGUUCUCAUUUACCACGAAUGCACCAUGAUUGAACCUGUUAUGCACCAGAGAUCCCAAAGUUUCCCAGGACUGAGUAACCAGAUCGAAGCGCAAACAUGAAUCCAACACCCGCUUGUCAGCAGGUUCUCCACCGACAUGGACCACACCAAACUUUUUUCCUUUUGCCCAAAAGUACACUUUCUCUCCAAUUCCGACUGGACAUACGAAGAAAUAUCUUGGACUCAAGUUCAGUGCUCGCCAUGAUUGUCUGAUUAUAUUCCAAACGAUGGUUUCGAUCGUUCCAUCGGAGCGCAGAAAUUGGCAAACCAUUUCGCUUCCAAGAGUUGUGAAAUUAUUACCACCAUAACACAGUUGUUUGUUCCGUAAAGCGGUAGGGAGCGGCCAUGCGCGUAGUGUCACCGUUGCGGUAUUUAGCAAUUGUACGGACAAGCUCAUCUUGUACACCGGAGCCGUUGAACCGUCAAUAUCUGUCCAAGUCAAUCGUGCUGCAAAAUCUGGCAUGUCGAUUCGAAGCACCGCAAUUUCAGAUGAGACAGUUGUUCCUUUCUCUGCGUUCAGGAGCUGGAGCAACAAGUUAUCGGCACCAAUUCUGUCUUUACUAUGAACACAUAGGCAGCGUCCCGCACAUGAAGCCAUAA